rnacentral:rRNA from 1 species
AGCGAACGCUGGCGGCGUGCCUAACACAUGCAAGUCGAACGUGAAAAGGGAAACCUGAGUAAAGUGGCGUACGGGUGAGUAACGCGUAGGUAAUCUACCCCAGAAUCUGGAAUAACCUGCCGAAAGGCGGGCUAAUACUGGAUAGAGCGAGGGAACUCGUAAGAGAGUUUUUCGGGAAAGGGAGCCCGCAAGGGCCUUCGUUCUGGGAUGAGCCUGCGUCUCAUUAGCUAGUUGGUAAGGUAACGGCUUACCAAGGCGAUGAUGAGUAGCUGGUCUGAGAGGAUGAUCAGCCACACUGGAACUGAAACACGGUCCAGACUCCUACGGGAGGCAGCAGUGGGGAAUCUUGCGCAAUGGACGAAAGUCUGACGCAGCCACGCCGCGUGAGUGAAGAAGACCUUCGGGUUGUAAAGCUCUGUCGGAUGGGACGAACAUCUUCAUAGUGAAUAGCUAUGAGGACUGACGGUACCAUCAAAGGAAGCACCGGCUAACUCCGUG